AUGAAGGUCUUAAAGAUAUCUUUUGAAACUCGUCUUUUGGGAAGACAUGGUAAAUUGAGUUAGCUUUACAAUGGAGGUGGUUUCAAGUCGUUUGGAGCUGUAUUGAGGGAUUUAUGAUCAAAAUACUACACACAUAUCAGUGUGUGCAACAUGGAGAAAGUGGAGAAAACUUUAAUGAGUGAGUUUUAUCUCUUUAAAGCUUGCAACAUGGGGGAUGGGUUGUCUAUCAUGAGUUUGGUGGCUCUUUUGGCCUAACUUUCUCUACCUUUUCUGAAGAGGCAAGACUACUUUGGCCAUAUGAAGGGGCAAAAGGUGUUCUAUAAUGGAAGAAAGUGGAGAAUAACUUUUAUGAGUGUGUUUUAUGCUUUAUGCUUUCACAUGAUGGAUGUGUUGUCAUCCUCCUUUACUUAGGCUAUAAAAGAGACUGCAAGGGGAAGGAGGAAGACACACAAUACACAGAGUACAAUACAACAAAGAGUAGAGAGUGAAAGUUUUAUAGUUUCAUAUUUUGUAUUUUGAGAGUUUGAGAGAAAACAUUUGUUCUUGAGCUGUUCUUCAUUGUUCAUCAUCUAUUCUUGAGUUUUAAUUUC